UUGAGUUUGGUUUAUGUGCUGGGUUUGGGUUGGUGGUGUUUGGGUUUGGUUUAUGUGUUGGGUUUGGAUUAUACGUUGGGUUUGGGUUGGUGUUGGGUUUGGUUUAUGUUUUAAGUUCAGUUUAUGCGUUGGGUUUGUGGUGUUGUUGGGUUUGGUUUGUAUGCUGGCUUUGAGUUGGUGUUGGCUUUGGUUUAUGUGUUAGAUUUAGUUUAUACAUUGGCUUUGGGUUAUUGUUGGGUUUGGUUUGUAUGCCGGCUUCAGGCUGGUGUUGGAUUCGGUUUAUGAGGUUUAGUUUAUACGUUGGGUUUGGGUUGGAGUUGGCUUUGGUUUAUGUGUUAGGUUAAGUUUAUGCGUUGGCUUUGGGUUGGUGUUGGCUUUGGUUUAUGUGUUGGAUUUUUUUUUCCUGAUUCCUCCCCGUCCCUCUCCUCCCUCCGACGUGGUGUAAACUGUUUGAAGUUCAACAACACGGCAAAGUUUUAUUGUAUUUCCGGCACAAUAGAUUUAUAUGCGGUCCCAUCCACUCCUUUAAGUGCUUCUCAAAUGAAAUGGAGCUAAAUUAUUGUCGACUUUCUGGCUCCUGCGUGCAUCUCUUCAUCCCAGAGAAUUCGUUCUCAAUGAACUUUUUAAUCUCCAAACUCGUUCUUUGGGGGCAGUUGCCCCAUUGUUUUCGAGCCCCUAUUGAUUCCCUCCGCUCACUCCGUUUUGUUAUUUAAUCCACUUGAGGAUUAAAUCCGAAUUUACAAGAAAGAGAAGAUUGACCUUACCUGGAGAAGCAGCUGUGUGGGGAUGGUGAAAAUCCCCUCCUCGUGGUAACUGCCCCGAUUGCGACGUGAUGCGCAGUUCUGCGCUAAGAGGCAGCGAGAAACUGCUGUUCGUCCAACACAUUUCCCACGAGUUGCUCUCCUGCCAAGGUCCCGUCUGCCCCAUAUCGGCCCGACUCGGGGUGUGUGUGUGUAGGGGGGGGGGGGGGGCAAAAGCGGUGCGGAAAGAGCCCGUCUGAAAGAAUCUCCCCCUUUUCUUUUAUUACUGCACAUUCUUUUAUCGCUGCACGUUUUACAGAAACUCUCCCUCCAGAACUUAAUUCUCGUACCUGUGCCCUUUUCCCACCCUACUGCCUUGCCUCGGUGUGGUGGAGGCAGAUCCCUCCCAGACUUCAGACGAUUUUUGGGGUGGGGGUGGAGGGGUUCCCCACUAUCUGGCGGUGACCCCACAGCAGAUCGUCGCGGGGGACCCAGCAGCAGUAGGGUAUAAAACCCCCAAACCGGCGGCAGUGGGAGCGAAGCGAUCGCCCAGCUAUUGCGUGGGAGCUCGAUAUGAUUUCAUGGAGGGAGGCGAGGAGGGGGGAGGAUUAGUCUGGUAGCUAAAAUGUGGGCUCCUGAACAACAAUCCAACUUUAUUUUAACUUUCUCUCCUCCGGCUUCCCCUUUCCAAAGCGCAUACGCUUUUACUUUACAGGGGACCGAAAUGCUUUAUUAACUGCUGAGAUUACAAACCUCAUUUGGAAUUGUGUUUUUUAGCCGGAGUAUACUUUCGGCUCUUGGAAAAUUGCCCACAUGUGUAACUUGUUUUUGCUUCUCUUCAGACAAGGAAUUCCGCCUCCCCCCCACCUCACCCCCCCCCCUUCUUCUCACCACUUACGGAUUUUUAACAGACGGCCGCAUUCAAACUGAGGGCUAGCACAGGAAAUGGCAAAGGUAGAACCCUCUUCUUUCAGGCUACAGAAACUUAUUUCACAUUUUUUAUUAAAAAAAAAAAAGAAAGAAAGAAAGAAAAAAAAAGGAGUUUUACUCCUCAAGAGGGAUUUUUGUUCCGCUCUCGUGAGUUCGGGGGGGUUUGGGACUGAAGUUUUCUCUCUUAGAUCCGCGUAAAUGCGUUGUUUGGGAAUUAUGAGCGCUUUAAGCUGGGGUUUUAUUACUGUUUCCCCGUUUUAAAAUAUUUCUAUUAUUAUUAAUAAUUAUUAUUAUUAUUUCGGCAUACUUUUCAUAUCCGAAAUUAACGCUCAGCCCUUUGAAGGCUGAGUGAUUUCUGAAUCUGGUCUCCAGACACCCCAUAGCCGCGAGGUUCGCUCUCAGCUGUUAUCCCCUCUUGCAUAUCCUUAUCGCCUUCAAAACCCAACGUGCAAAAGAAGAGUGAACGUAUCCAAGUAACGCACACUGCACACCGCCUCGAAACCGUGAUAGGACCCCCCCCGUCCCAUCCCAGCACAGCAGAAAGCUCCGCACCCCCGGAUCCCCCCCCCACCUCCUUCAUCUCAAUGCUAAAGCAUCUGGAAAAGGAAGGUGCCAAUUCUAAUAAACGAUAACAACUGCCCUUAACAAUAGUAAAAGUGCUUAAAUAUGUUGCCGGCCAAAAAUAAAUAAAAAUAAAUAAAUAGGAUCGUCCGCUCUUUUAUUUUUCUGAUGCCAAAACUUCCACAUCAGCAAAAGAUGGCAGUGGAGCAGAGACCUGAAAGCUGCAUCUUGUGAAGGCGUUUUGUGUUUGGUCGCUGGCGGUGCAGCAAUACCGACCCGAGGAGCUGUUUCUUAAGGAUGAAUUUUUGCAGCUGUGUGUUUCAAAGGGGAGCGCUGUGUGGAAUUGGUUCCCUCUCCCUACAAACAAGAAAGAUUAUUUAUAAACAACAUCUGAGCUAGGAAGCCUCUGGGUUUCCGUUGCAAGCUGACAACACUCCCAGUUUUUUUCCUCACAGGCAAAGAAUACACUUGGCACUGAUUCUGAGAGCAGCAAAAAGUUUCCACUUCGGACUUUUUUUAGGGGGGGAACUGUUUCUAGUUCCACUUUACCGACCAGCAAUAAACCCAUACCUCAAGUGAAGGCAGCCGGUGUGCAAAGCGAGCACAGCUCGCACACCCUGGCUGCUCUAACCCAAAAACUCAUCCCGAAAUUGACUCCCCGAGGUCCCUUUCUCCCCGGCUUUUCCUCCUCUGAGUUUUUUGUUUUUUGUUUUUUGUUUUUUUUUUUUUUUUUCUCAAAGAGAAGAGCCUUUCAUACCAUUUCUUUCGGGGUCUAUUUGAGGCUUUCAUGUAUGAAGUCACAGGAAACAGACAGCACCACGCGAGCGGGGCUCCCAGAUCUGGGAUGGAGCGGCUGCUCGCCUGGAGUCCCUCUCAGCAAAGGUUACAAAGAGAUGAGCUAUGGGAAUAUGCAUCAAAAAUAAACUACUGAACAAACGGAAACCUCCAGAGGAGCGAAAGCAAAUGGAUUUGGCAGAUCAUCUUGUGAGGUUUCCAUCCACCAGGGAUCUGAGAACUCCUGCUCUUUGCCUCACAGCCACACUCCUAAGAGUCUUCUUGGUCUGAAUUUAUAUACUACAGAAGAUUAUAUACUCACAUGCUGACACAGUUCAUCAUUAUUUAUAGGAGGCGCACCAGGAUUUUUUUUUUUUCCCAAGAAUAUAUUUAUUACAGGUAAGACACAGCCAAUCUAUCUAGCAAACAGAGAACAGGUGUUUUGCUUCAAUUAACGUUCAAUAAUUUUAUCUAUACUUAUUCAACACCCCGAUGCCAACACGGCUGUUUAUCCAUCACUUGUAUAAACACAUUUCCACGAGCCAGGAGAGUUUAAUCUCCAGAACUCGCUUAAAUCAGCCCUUCCCUUUUCCAAGCUCUCAUAACAUUUUCAGAGUCCCUCCGAAUCUGUUGUGAAAUAGGCUGAUGUAAUAAAAAGAGUAAAGUCUGGAAGGCAAUAAAGCGGAGGACGAUGGCAAUCCGAGCAAGCAGCUCGCAUUGCAUGGCUGAUGACACGGGAUCCCUUAAGUUCAAAAACUCCGUAACGAGUUAAAGGGAAGAGCAAAUAAGAGUAGUUGGGGAAAGCAGGAAUUCCUCCCGUCGCUCGCCCUGGUCUGGGAGAUCAGCGAUCCUGCCCCACGCUGCUCACUUGUAGGGAUUUCUCUGCCUUCCCCAGUUUAAAUGCAAAGGGAUGAAGUGGGGUUACUUUGGAUGCACCCCACAGAAAGGAUAGGAAGGUUUGUCGGGCGGUGAGGACUCACCUGGUCACAUUUACUCGCGACGGUCUUUGCAAGAGCUUAACUCAGAGCUCACCUUGGCUGGAGCCCGAGACUGCCUCUGCUCUUCCAGACCAGGGAGCGUUUUGCUCUGGCUGGGGGUGGGGUGGGGGGGCUCUUAUUACCCUGAUUGAUGUAAAAAUUAAAAAUAAAUCCGAUCUCCGGCACUGGACUCGGCUCUCUCUGCCCAUCAUCCCGACCCUCUCGAUUAGUUCUGUUUUUAAAUGAAAAUGGACAGCUUCUUCCCAGCGCCUCUUGCAGAGGGUCUCUGCUUCUCGAUGCGGGGAAUUGUCCCUUCAUCACGCUGCGGGGCAUCGAAAAACACCGCUGAUGGGAAUAAGGGAGAACCUAACAAUUUGGGUGUCGGGUUUUUAGCGCCUUAAUGAUCACCCCGUAUCAGUAUAACACCUCUGAUAGUAAAUUCAUACAUAGGUUUUGUACAGACGAGCACAUAGGAGUCAUAUACACACACAUACGGUAUCACAAGAGAGAGAUGCGAAAUACGCUUUUCCUUGAUUUCAGGUGGCUAUUAGCACCCUCCGAUGUUAUUAUUAGCCCGUUAAUACAGGCUAUAUAAUACUUACAUCCCUAUAUACCUCAGGAAGGAUUCGCGAUGAUUUAUCAUUCCUAGAAAUCUCUUUGCCCUUCACAUUAAAUAUCCUUCUGUGUUGGGGUGAGAGGAAGAAGGGCGGAGGGGCAAUAGAUUAAAGGAGGCGAAUUGAUCCAGACUGUUACAGCUGAAGUCCAGAAAACACUUUUGCCCUAAUCACACCGCGCACCUUUUCCUUAACCAACAUUUACGACGCCAUCAGAUCAUCUCGCAGUAAACGCAUUUGUCAUAAUAAGUCGGGAAAACUGACCCCGUUACCCCGCAUCGCCGGGCGGGACCCGCACCGAACCGGAGCCGCGCGUCAAUCAUCGCGUCCAGGGCUGGAAAAAAAAAAAAAAAAAAGAGAGAAAUAAAAAUUAUAAUUCUAAUUAAAAUGAAGCCGAAAUGAGUCGGAUCGUCGAUAACGCGAUCGGGGAGAGAGCGGGGGGGUGGCACGCACGCAUACAUGCGGUGGUGCGAGCGAGGUGUGCGGGAGGGAGGGGGGG
ensembl:lncRNA